UACAGAGGGUGCAAGCGUUGUUCGGAAUUAUUGGGCGUAAAGCGCGUGUAGGCGGCUUUGCAAGUCGGGUGUGAAAGCCCUCGGCUCAACCGUGGAAGUGCACUCGAAACUGCGCAGCUAGAGUCUCGGAGAGGAAGGCGGAAUGCUUGGUGUAGAGGUGAAAUUCGUAGAUAUCAAGCGGAACACCGGUGGCGAAGGCGGCCUUCUGGACGAUGACUGACGCUGAAGCGCGAAAGCGUGGGGAGCGAACAGG
rnacentral:rRNA from 1 species